GCGCGCAAAUUACCCAAUCCUGACACGGGGAGGUAGUGACAAUAAAUAACAAUACCGGGCGCGUUAGUGUCUGGUAAUUGGAAUGAGUACAAUCUAAAUCCCUUAACGAGGAUCCAUUGGAGGCAAGUCUGGUNCCAA
rnacentral:rRNA from 1 species